AGGUGUGGAUAGCGGAGAAAUUCCAAUCGAACCCGGAGAUAGCUGGUUCUCCUCGAAAUAGCUUUAGGGCUAGCCUCGUUUUAGUCUGGUGGAGGUAGAGCACUGAAUUCCCAAGGGGGCGUCAAAGCUUACUAAGGGAUAUCAAACUCCGAAUGCCAUACAGAUGAUGAACGGGAGUCAGACUAUACGAGAUAAGUUGGAUAGUCAAAAGGGAAAGAGCCCAGACCCGCAGCUAAGGUCCCAAAGUGCAUGUUAAGUGGAAAAGGAUGUGGGAUCUCUAAGACAACUAGGAUGUUGGCUCAGAAGCAGCCAUUCAUUCAAAGAGUGCGUAACAGCUCACUAGUCGAGAGGUCCUGCGCCGAAAAUGUCCGGGGCUAAAACAUGCCACCGAAGCUCAGGAAUGACAUAGUCAUUGGUAGAGGAGCAUUCUUAACGCGAAGAAGCAGUACCGUAAGGAGCUGUGGAGUGCUAAGAAGAGAGAAUGCCGGAAUGAGUAGCGAGAACAAGGUGAGAAUCCUUGUGGCCGAAUAUCCAAGGUCUCCAGGGUAAAGCUGAUCUGCCCUGGGAAAGUCGGGACCUAAGGUGAGGCUGAAAAGCGUAGCCGAUGGACAACAGGUUGAUAUUCCUGUACCGCAUGGUAACAGAACUGUGGGGACACGGGAGGGAAACAUGGGCCGGAAAUGGAAAGUCCGGUACAAACGGGGUAGUCGCACAGCAGGCAAAUCCGCUGUGCAUGAGACGAAGCCGUGAUGUGGAGCGAACUAAAGUAGUGAAGCAUGUGCCCCCUCCUGUCGAGAAAAGCCGCUAUUGUUUGCCAUGCGCCCGUACCGUAAACCGACACAGGUGGAUGAGGAGAGAAUCCUAAGGCCGGCGGGAGAAGCAUUGUCAAGGAACUCGGCAAAAUGACCCCGUAACUUCGGGAGAAGGGGUGCCCACGCAAGUGGGCCGCAGAGAAUAGGCUCAAGCAACUGUUUAGCAAAAACACAGGUCUAUGCGAAACCGUAAGGUGAUGUAUAUGGGCUGACGCCUGCCCGGUGCUGGAAGGUUAAGAGGAGAGGUUAGAGCAAUCGAAGCUUUGAAUUGAAGCCCCAGUAAACGGCGGCCGUAACUAUAACGGUCCUAAGGUAGCGAAAUUCCUUGUCGGGUAAGUUC
rnacentral:rRNA from 1 species